GACAGAGGGUGCAAACGUUGCUCGGAAUUACUGGGCGUAAAGCGCGUGUAGGCGGGAAGAUAAGUCGGGUGUGAAAUCCCUGGGCUCAACCUAGGAACUGCAUUCGAAACUGUCUUUCUGGAGUGAUGGAGAGGAAAGCGGAAUUCCCGGUGUAGAGGUGAAAUUCGUAGAGAUGUGGAGGAACACCGAUGGCGAAGGCAGCCCCCUGGGCCAACACUGACGCUCAGGCACGAAAGCGUGGGGAGCAAACAGG
rnacentral:rRNA from 1 species